rnacentral:rRNA from 1 species
CCUACGGGGGGCUGCAGUGGGGAAUAUUGGACAAUGGGGGCAACCCUGAUCCAGCCAUGCCGCGUGUGUGAAGAAGGCCCUCGGGUUGUAAAGCACUUUCAGUGAGGAAGAACGCCUGGUGGUUAAUACCCAUCAGGAAAGACAUCACUCACAGAAGAAGCACCGGCUAACUCCGUGCCAGCAGCCGCGGUAAUACGGAGGGUGCGAGCGUUAAUCGGAAUUACUGGGCGUAAAGCGCGCGUAGGUGGCUUGAUAAGCCGGUUGUGAAAGCCCCGGGCUCAACCUGGGAACGGCAUCCGGAACUGUCAAGCUAGAGUGCAGGAGAGGAAGGUAGAAUUCCCGGUGUAGCGGUGAAAUGCGUAGAGAUCGGGAGGAAUACCAGUGGCGAAGGCGGCCUUCUGGACUGACACUGACACUGAGGUGUGAAAGCGUGGGUAGCAAACAGGAUUAGAUACCCGGGUAGUC